rnacentral:rRNA from 1 species
UACGGGGGGGGGCAAGCGUUGUUCGGAAUUACUGGGCGUAAAGGGCUCGUAGGUGGCCAACUAAGUCAGACGUGAAAUCCCUCGGCUUAACCGGGGAACGGCGUCUGAUACUGGAUGGCUUGAGUUCGGGAGAGGGAUGCGGAAUUCCAGGUGUAGCGGUGAAAUGCGCAGAUAUCAGGAGGAACACCGAUGGCGAAGGCAGGUCUCUGGGCAUUAACUGACGCUGAGAAGCGAAAGCAUGGGGAGCGAACAGG